UCUCCGGUGGCGCAAUUGGUUAGCGCGUCUGACUGUUAAUCAGGAGGUUGGAAGUUCAAGCCUUCCCCGGAGAG